rnacentral:rRNA from 1 species
AGGGAGUUUGAUCCUGGCUCAGGAUGAACGCUGGCGGCGUGCCUAACACAUGCAAGUCGAACGAAGCACUUCUGAACAGAGAUUCGUCGAAGUUUGGAUUUGACUUAGUGGCGGACGGGUGAGUAAUGUAUGAGCAACCUGCCUUUCGGAGGGGGACAACAGUUGGAAACGACUGCUAAUACCGCAUAAUGUAUCGAGGGGGCAUCCCCAUGAUACCAAAGGAGCAAUCCGCCGAAAGAUGGGCUCAUAUCUGAUUAGUUAGUUGGUGGGGUAACGGCUCACCAAGACUGCGAUCAGUAGCCGGACUGAGAGGUUGAACGGCCACAUUGGGACUGAGAUACGGCCCAGACUCCUACGGGAGGCAGCAGUGGGGAAUAUUGGGCAAUGGGCGAAAGCCUGACCCAGCAACGCCGCGUGAAGGAAGAAGGUCCUCGGAUUGUAAACUUCUUUUAUGAGGGACGAAGGAUGUGACGGUACCUCAUGAAUAAGCCACGGCUAACUACGUGCCAGCAGCCGCGGUAAUACGUAGGUGGCAAGCGUUAUCCGGAUUUACUGGGUGUAAAGGGCGCGUAGGCGGGGAUGCAAGUCAGAUGUGAAAUCUAUGGGCUUAACUCAUAAACUGCAUUUGAAACUGUAUCUCUUGAGUGCUGGAGAGGUAGAUGGAAUUCCUUGUGUAGCGGUGAAAUGCGUAGAUAUAAGGAAGAACACCAGUGGCGAAGGCGAUCUACUGGACAGUAACUGACGCUGAGGCGCGAAAGCGUGGGGAGCAAACAGGAUUAGAUACCCUGGUAGUCCCCU